UGGAGGAAGUUAACUCUUCUGUGAAGUUAAGGAGAAAAUCUUUGAAACCUUUUAAAUGGAAGGAGCUGAAACUAAAAUGGCUACAGUAGACUGGAAGAGAGAAAGAGGCAGUGGCAAAAACAGACUCAAGAGAUGUAAUAAAGAGGAUCAAGUAUGCCUGAGAGAAUAAGGAAGGAUGACAAGCAGGGGCCACAGAUGGAUUCAAGAAGAUCAUGGUGAUGCAAGCGUGGCUAUGUGGCGUGAGGUGAAUGUGGUUUUCACUUGAAAGAGAGUUGAUUCAUCGUGAUUAGACAAUGGUGAAUGAGACUGAGGAGCUGUCUCUGCUUCCUGACUUCUCACUUGACCAGAGAGGAUGUGAAUGGUGGCAAAAAGGAAAGAGAUCCUGAUAUUUUGAUACCGACAUCCCUCCACUCCAGUUCCCAUCCUGGCUUAUUUCAUCAGUGAACUGGUUUGCAGAUCCAUGGUCUGGAGGCUGGCUGCUUCCACUCCCUUGGUGCUUUCAUCCUCCUCUCCCACCAUCUCAUGAAGAUCCCCCAGGGGUGCUCUGUUAGGAACUGGGUUGUCAUCCUCAAAUUGGCAUGGCUGCAUUCAAUAGCAUUGCUUCUGGUGAUGUGUUUGUUAGCGGGCUGUUUGCUAAUAAUACCUGAUGAAGUAUCACCACCAUUAAGCUUCUUGAAAAUGAGCGUGAUGUGCUGUGGAAACUCUGGGAUUAGGGUACAUAGUAAUGAUGAAGUUUGGUUCCAGACCAGCUGUUUGUGACAAAGGGCUAGGGAGUUGAGACAGUCCUGAGCUACACUCUGUGCAGAAAGAGAAGAUGCAAAGAAAUCAUCUCUCCGAUGCAGAUUUCUUUCUGAUCUCAGUGACAGUUUACCCCAAGGGACUCAGAGGCUGGAAAUCUUUUUGUAAUGAGCAUUUUGCUUGUCUCACAACUCCAGAAUAAAGUUAGCACCUUAACUAAGGGGUAGAGUUUAUCAAAAAGGUUAAAAUCAGUGUAAAGUAAUAAAUUAGAGAAAGUUGCCUCCAAUUUUCUGCAGUUUAUAACUCUAAAAAGCUUAAGACCAGUGGCUUUCUAAACAAAACAAAAAAGAGGAAUACAUCAGAAUUUCUUGAGAAGGUUGUUAACAACUCAAAUUCUAGGUGUUUCCCCUAGAGAUUCUGAUUCAGUGGGCUCCAUACAAUGUCUACAACACUAUGUUUUAGCAUAUAACCCAGUCAGUUCUGACUCGGGUGGUCUUAAGAAAACUCCUUGUGAGGCAAUGACACAGACUUCCCAGAGACCUAGAAUUUAAUCUUUAUUUUUUCUUUCUCUUCCUUUCUGUUCUCUUCCUCCUCCUCCCCCUUUCUUCUUCCUUAAAGACUUAUUAGAGAGAGAGAGAGAGAGAGAAUGGGGGAGCACGAGCCAGAGGGAGAGAAAGGGAGAGAGAACCUCCAGGAGACUCCCCACUGAGCGAGGAGCUGGACACAGCGGUUCGAUCCCGGAACCCUGAGAUCAUGACCUGAGCCGAAAUCGAGAGUUAGAUGCUUAACUGACUGAGCCACCCAGGCACCCCUAGAAUUUAAUUUUUAGCUGCCAUUGUACCCUGUUGUAUUCAGACAAUGAAAUCCACAUGAAAAUGCUCUCCCAAGUUUCUGUUCUCUUUCCAUGCAUGGAUUCAUGUUUCCACUUGUCAGUUUGAUCACACUCCUUCACUUUCCAUGUCAAAUUGCUGGCGGUUUUGCAUUCGUUCUCCGGGUCCAUUCUCUACCCAUCUAAUCCACCUUGUGUCCAGGAGGCCAGUCUCAAAAUACUGUAUCUAACAGUGUCCUUUGCCUUCAGGAGGCCGGUGGAGAGUGAAGGCAGCAUUUAUGUUUCUGUGCUCCCUUCUAAAGAAGUCUGUCAGUGGCUGAAUUUCUCUACUAAAGCAUUGACUAGGAGGCAUCAUACUAUAGGUCAGGCUGGAUUCUGGUAACUGCCCCCUUCCCUUGCCCUUCAGGCCUAGAAGACUUCUAGUUUCUUAAGAUUGUCUAAUGGUACUUCCCUAGCUCUUGUUGGUUUUAUGGAACUCUAUUUGUACAUUGUGAGAGUCCUAUGGUUAAACCCUUUUCAAUGAUUCCUUUUGAGUGUGGCAUGCUUUUCCUGAGGGAACCCUGACCAACAAUUUAAGUAGCUUUAUACUAGUUUCUGAGAAGGUCAUGGAAAAUAAAGCAUGGUCAGAAAUGAUCAUUCUGAACUGGGGUAAGUACUGUGUAGAAGACGUAUAGAGCAAUAAGUGAACAAAGUUGAAAGGAAAAAGGUAUUUGUCCUGGCCAUUGGGAAGAAACUUAUAAAUGAGAUGACAUUGCUGUAGGGUCGGAAUAUUAUUUAGAAAGUCCUUAGGUGGGAAAAUGGAAGGAAAGCCAUCUGCAGAGCUCCCCUGUAUGCUGUUUACCAUCAGACUCCCUGAAGUCACUAUUGUCUCUCACAAGAGUCAAUGCUAUGCUAUUCUCUUAUUUCAUCUUCCUGCAAUCGAUUCCCCAACACAUCAGAGGUGUGAUCUUUAUAAAACAUAAUUAGGAUAAUGUGAACAUAUAUGUGCUUAUAAGUAAAAGAAUCAUAUUUCUAAGUUCUUUGCAGCUAAACCUCAGAAUGCAUAGAAGGUAGACGCAGUCAUCAAAAAUAACGAUGCACAUAAUCCAAGGCCUUAAAUACUGCACAGUCACGGAAGGGUUUAGAAUAGAAAGGUGAUAUGGUCAAAUCUUUAUCUCUGGAACUCUGGAAACAAUACAAAAAAUGAACUAUAGGAAGAAGAGACUAGAAGAAGGAAAAACUUAUUAGGAGCCUCUUCUCACAUGAUAGGAUACUCACUGAUCUCGUAGAAGUGAUUCCGGUAUCCAUUGGAAAUAUUCUCUGAAACUGAUCAUUUUCCACAACAUUAUCUUCUGGUAAAGAGUAUGAAAAUCCCUAGUGACAAUUCACACCUAAGAUUCCACAAUUGCCUAGGCCUAUUGUCCCGAGAUAGUGUAAAAUUCUAAAUUGCUUUAAUGCUCUAUUAUAGGGAAAAAAAUUAUCAUAAAAGAAUAUUCAAACUUCAAAAUUUUUCUCAGCAAUCUGAUCAUUAUACCCUAAUUCUACUUUUUAAAAACAUCUUCUUUUACUCUUUCUUCAAAUAUAUAUUACUAAAUUACAUUAUGUAUUUUUCCAAUAAAUUUUGGCAUAGAUAUUGAGUACAUAUUGUGAUCCUGGAAAUUUAGGACAUUAUUUUUUGAUGGAAAGGCCUGAAUGUAAAAUAUUGAGCAUGAUUUAUUCUUGAGCACAUUUCAUUAUUUACUUAAAAAUAAAUAUAGAGAGGGCACCUGGGUGACCCAGUCAGUUAAGCAUCUGUCUUUGGCUCAAGUCAUGAUCCCAGGGUCCUACGAUUAAGCCCUGCUUUGGGCUCUCUGCUCAGCAGGGAGUCUACUUCUACCUCUACCCAUGCCUCCUGCUUGUGAUCUCUCUCUUACUCUUUCUUUCAAAUACAUAAAUAAAAUCUUAAAGAAAUAAACAUGGAGAAAGUUCCUAUAAAUUUACUUUCCAUAUAAUGGAAAAUAAUAUCACAUUCACUGUCAAAUUUCCUUAAAUAAAACUGAUUUUAUAUGAUUAACAACACAAAAGCAAAGUAUUGGAAGAGGUGAAAGGCAAAACAAAAUUUAACUACUCCCAUUUUGUGCUAGAAAGUCUUCUCAUAUGAAACUGUUUUUUCAUUCUUUUUUUGUGUGUGUAUGUGGCUUUUAAAAGCAAUCUUUAUUAAUAUUCAACUGACAUAUAAUAAGCUGAAUAUAUUAAGGUAAACAACUUGAAAAGUUAUCACACAUGUAUACACUCAUGAAACUACCAUCAAUCAAGAUGAUGAACUUAUCCAUCAGGGAUACAAAUUUUCUCAUGACUCCUGGUGAUCUCUUCUUCCCAACCUUCCUUGACCUCUACAUUGACCUCCCCAAAACAAAUCUGUCUUCUGUCACUAUAGAUUAGUUUAUAUUUCCUAGAAUUUAACAUAAAUGGCAUCAUACAAUUUUUGUCUAGCCUCUUUCAUUAGCGUAAUUAUUUUGAAAUCCAUCCAUGGUGUAGAGGAAAGGAAUACUUUGUCCCUUUUUAUGGAUGAGUAGUAGUCCAUAUUGAUACAGUAGAGUUUAUCUUUUUACAUAUUGAUGAAAAUUUGGAUUCUUUUCAUUUUGGAGUUUUUAUGAAUAAAACUUCUAUAAAUAAUUAUGUCUAAGUCUUUGCAUGGGCAUAUACUUUUGUAUCUCUCAGAUGAACCCAGGAAUGGAAUGACUGGAUCAUAUGGUAGUUAUAUUUUACCUUUUUAUCACAUUAUCAAAUUGCCCUCCAAAGCAUUUAAAUUCCCACUAGUUCCCAUUUAAAUUCCCACCAACAGUGUAUGAGAAUCCCAGUUCCUACAAAUAAUUGCCAACACUUGAUGUUCAUUUUUAAGUCUUUUUUCAUCUCUAUAAGUUUGAUUCAGGUAUUCUUACAUCCUUAUAUCCCCACCUUUUUGGACAUAUGUUUUGAUAAACUAUCUUAAUUUUAACAUCUGUGUCAGCUCAGGGUUGAUUUCAAUUGCUGGUUUUCCUCUUUAUGGGUCUUCUUUUCUUCCUUGCUCAUAUGAUUGGUAUUUUUUAUUAGAUGCCAGACAUUAUUUAACAUCGUUGGUUGCUGGAUAUUUUUGUUUUCCUAUAAAUAUUUUUGUGUCUUAUUUUGUAAUGCAGCUAAAUUACUUACAAACAGUUUGGUCCUUUGAUGUUUUUGUUAAGACUUAGUGGCCCAAAUAAUUCUCAGUAUAAGGAACUCCACUACUGAGGCAAGAUCCUUGUAAUGAUUCUGUCCAAUGCCCUGUGAAUCUUGUUUUUCCAGGCUGGUCCUGUGGGCGUGUGGGCACUGUUACCUUUACUCCUCUUGGAUGCCUCUUUCCCCAGCCUUGUCUGGUUUCCUCAGAGCAUGAAUUGCUCAGAACCCCAGGGAAUACUUGAGGCCAAUGCUCCACAGGUCUCCAGGGUUCUCUUCCUGGAGAGAACUAGUUCCCUGAUACUCUGUCUUGUGAACUUUAGCUGCCCUCGUCUCUCUGGUGUCUCAGCUCCAUCUUCUUAAAUUAGGUAGUUUCCUGAUUUCCCCUAACUCCCCAUAUCUCUACCAAAGGCCAGAAACUCUUUCAUAGCUACGAUACGGGCAAAAGGUCUGUCUCAUUUGUUUCCUGUCAUCAAAGAUCACUGCUCUUUUUCUAUCUGAUGUCCAACAUCUUGAAAACAAUUGUUCAUUUCUUUGUUUAUCUCAUAUAGAAGGGUAGUUCUGGCCCUGUGACUUUAUUUUGCCCAGAAGAUGAAGUUAUCUGUUACAAUGCAUAAGGUUUGUUUAAAAAAAUUUUUUUUUGUAUUAUGUAUUUUAUUUAAAUUUUUAAAAAUUUCUUUUCAGUGUUCCAGAAUUCAUUGUUUCUGAAUUCCAGUGCUGGUUUUUUUUUGUGUGUGGUGUUUUAAAUUUAAGUAUAUUGCAAGUGUCUUGGUUUUCCAGAAAAAUUACUUUAUGUAUCAGGAAAAGGAAUUUAAUUGUGAAGCAUAUCUAUGGCUCCAAGCCUAAUUUCACAAAAUGUUAGAGAUGAUGAAAUAGUGAUUUUUUAUGUUAUUGAAGAAAGUUUCAGAUAUGUUCUCUGAAAUAGUCUUACUGUUUCUUCUUUUCAAAAACGUCAUCAUUAACAUAAGAUAUAUUUAAGUAAAAGCUGUCUAGACUGUAAUCACUUACAUGACGAUGUUGACUUUAACCAUAAACAUUUAUUAUUGGAAUACACACCUGGCCUUGAUACUGUUACAUUUUAGAACAUAAUGGAAUUGCCACCUCCUACUCUGAAAGAGCCAUCUGUAUCUCUUGACAAGUAAAAAGAACCAUGCCC